ensembl:lncRNA
CUCGGCUCCUUAAUGUGACACUCGGUAAGGACCUGACCAUAGGCUGCUGGAUCGAGGACCAGGCCCUGUCUGUAGAGGUAUCUUGAUACAGCACCAAACGGCAGAAGUGGCUUUUUGAAGACCCUGAGGAGGGAAUGGCUCUGGGACUCUGUGUAAAUGCCAUCAGUGUGAGGCUGCUGCUGCUGCUGCUAAGUCGCUUCAGUCGUGUCCGACUCCGUGCAACCCCAUAGACGGCAGCCCACCAGGAUCCCCCGUCCCUGGGAUUCUCCAGGCAAGAACACUGGAGUGGCUUGCAUUUCUUUCUCCAGUGCAUGAAAGUGAAAAGUGAAAGUGAAGUCUCUCAGUCGUGUCCGACUCUUAGUGGCCCCAUGGAGUGCAGCCUACUAGUCUCCUUCGUCCAUGGGAUUUUUCCAGGCAAGAGUACUGGAGUGGGGUGCCAUUGCCUUCUCCAUCCGUGUGAGGAGUGAGGACUAAGAACUGGUGCUUCAGCCUCACCAUGUGUGUGCCUAUCUUUAUGUCAUCUUUCUUUUCCGGGUUCCUCAAAAAGGAAAAGAGUAGCUUUUUUAUUUACUUUUUUUUUUUUUUUUUUUGCUUAAAAGUUUUUUGGAAAAGUUCACUCAGACUUUUCUGAAAGGGCAGAAAUCUCUGAGGUCUUGUCACUACUUACUUUCUGCCUUUUUUUUUCUUUUUGGCUCCUGUACAAUAGCUAGUGCUAUUUUGGGAGCCAUUUUAGAAGGUGAGUGGAACUGUGUGGGCUGAUCCAGUGAACUGUCCAAAUUCAUUAACGGAAAUUAACUGCUGCUCAGAGAGAGUACCUUGGUGGCUGAAUCCUAUCAUCAGAAAACAGCUUCACAGCCCCUUCUCAGACCCUCUGUUACAUGUCGCUUGACAGAAGCAGGUUAUGACCUCUGGUUUGGAUUGAACAAAAGACAGUGGGAAGCAGUGGCCCUAAUAGGAGAAGGAGGGGCUCAGAGUCCAUAGAGAAGUUCCACGUCUGCCUCCAGCCCCCAGCCUGAAGACAGUAACCACCAGGGAUGGGGAUGCAGGAAUGGAGUCAAUCAGCAGGAGAUGCCGCUGCUGCGGGGACAGCUGUCUGCCAGGUGUUUGGUCCAGGCGUGUCUCUGCAUCACAAGCAGGCUUGAAGAGGUCCCCUUUACCCCUAUUCUGCCCUCAAGAGUUCCCCACCCUCACUUCCCAGCUCUCCUCUUUAUUCUCAAUAUCCUCUCCUCCCCAGUGCUGGCCUUUGUGUCUGCCCAUGAGAGAAACCAACGUGUUCAUGUUGUCACUUUUUCAUGGAGGAACCUGAGCCAGUGUUGUCUAAGUCCCAAAUGGUGGGGAGCGAGAGGGCAGAGUUAUAAGGAAUGAAGUUGUUGAUUCAGCUGUCAGUGCUUCCUCUGGAAUCGGGCUCUGAGCUAAACAGGAACCAGAGUCCUUGCCCUUUUCCUCCUCCAGUCGUAAACUUUCUGGAUUCCUUCUCCUUGCAUAGGGACCUUUCCCCAAGUUUCCUGGACAAAUCCCUUCCACCGAUUCUUAUUUCUCCACCUGCUCUAGGUCAGAACAUGCUCACCGUGAGAGCUGUGGAGACGGUCCUGGUGUGUCUCCCAGCUUGCAGGAGAGGACUUUUAGCCUCAGCAGUGCCAUCUCUGCUCUAGGAGGGCUCUUCCAGGCUUCAGCCAGAGGGCAGGAGCCAUCCUUCCACCCUUAGCCCCUCUCUGCAGCUGCAGCCUCUCCUGUUGCUCUGCCCCUGCAGCCAGGAUGCAUCCUCCUCUGCUGCCCCGGCCACCAGGCCUGGUAAGCUCUCCUCUGCCUGCUCUUUAACUUCUGCUCUCACAAUGCAGAGCUUAAAAGAUUAAAUCUUUAUUUAUGGAUUUAAUUAUACCAUAGAAGAAUUAUAAAUGUGGAAGCCAGUGUAUUACUUUGCAGAGCAGAACGAGAAAGUAAAAACGAAGGCCUCUUGGCAGCCUCUCUCCAGAACAUGGGUUCUGACAAUAUCUGCAGUUGGACUCAUCUCCAGAACACUCUGACAUGACCUCCGGGUCAUGACCUCCAGCCUUCCCAACUCCGCCUUCUCUGAGAAUGGACACCCUACCUCCUCAUCCACAAGGGGGAUGUGUGUGUGUGGCCCAGGGGGAACAAAUCAGAUUGCCUCUCCUGGGGAUUUAGAAUUGCAAUCAGAGACGUUAGGUCUGAGAGAGUGUCUGGAAGCAUCUUUUCCCUGCCGUGGAGAGACAGUGAGAGCCAGACCGCAGAGGGCAAAGGAUGAGGAGACACCAGACAGCAGCAGAGGCAGGAGGGAGGGGGCAGCUGAUGCGGGCUGUGAGUAGUGAUCUCAACCAGCCCUCCUGUGGUCACAAUACCUCACUAGCCCUUGGGUUCUACAAAAUGCCUGAAUCCUUAAAUACCCCCUUUGCUUGUUUGCUUUUCUUAAUUUAUUUUUUUGCUCAAGUCAUAUGAGUAGGUUUCCUACAACCCAAAUCUGACUCCUCAUCUUACCUUAGCUUCCCACCAAAAAAAUCACCCCAUCCCCUGAAUUGUUGGGCACAUGGCCUUGAGGCCUUGACUCUUUAGAGUAGUGACUCCUGACCUUUUGGCAUCAGGGGCCAGUUUUGUGGAAGACAAUUUCUCCAUGCACUGGUAUGGGAAAGAUGGUUUCGAGAUUGUUCUCAUAAGGAGCAUGCAACCUAGAUCCCUUGCAUGAACAAUCACAGUAGGAUUUGUGCUCCUCUGAGAAUCUAAUGCCUCCGCUGAUCUGACAGCAGGCGGAGCUCAGGAAGUAAAGGGAGUGAUGGGGAGGAGCUGUAAGUACAGAUGAAACUUCAUCGCUCACCGCCCACUUCCUGUUGUGUGGCCUGCUCCCUAACAGGCGUGGGGCCUGCUAGAGGGGUUGAGGACCCCUGCUUUAGAAUGUUCCUCCCUGCCUGGGACCUAGAGGACUCACUAGAAUAAUGAAGAAUCUGUGCAGGCCUGUCCUGAAUCAUUGUACCACGGCUGGCUCACACCAUUUGUCCUUCUUGACACCUCAGAGAUGGCGACUCAGUUGCCCUCCCCUGUACCAGCCCCUCCUGGUGUGUUUCUCCAUCGUAGCUCGUAACACUAUUCUCUGCAGCAGCCUGAUGCUACUUUAGGGUCUGGCAAGCUUGGAGUCAGAACGCUGCUUGGGUCGGCAUCUGGCUCUGCUCUGAUGCUUUGAGCAAGUUGCUUAAUACCUUAUCUAUGAGAUAAUAAUAUCUGCCCAAGAGGAUUGUUGCAAUGAGGAUUAGAGACCAUAUACGCCAACUCUUUAUCAGAAUGUAGCUCUCAAGCCCCACUUCCACUGGGAGGCUUUCCUGGCUGUUUCCAAUCUCCCUUGGUCCCCCCAACCCUCCGGCAGGGCCAGGGUAUUUUCCCUCUGGGCCCUGACUUACCCUGUGCGCAUCCCAGGUGGAGCCAGUACCAUCAUGUGUUGUUUCUUGCUAUUCUUUGAGUCCCCAGAGCCUCACCCAGACCCUGGCUCAGACGGGGCUCAAUAAAUACUGUAUUCGUGGUCCCCCGGGAGACUGUGAACCCUUGGAACUCUGGGCAGAUUUGUCCCCUAACUCAGUUCAGCAAGAAGUAAACGUUUUUGGUGGCAUUUUUCAAUUCAGCUGGACAAAGACAAGCUACAGAUAAAAACAGAAUGCAGUCUCUUUUCAACUGUGGGACAUGUUGGCCUUCUCACAGUGACAAUUUUUAGCUCCUACAUCUAAGGAGAAUGUCUCAAAGGAGGUCUGUUCUCUGUGUCUGCGUCUCCGCUGCUGCCCUGAAAAUAGGCUCACCAGUACCAUCUUUCUAGAUUCCAGUCUUAUGUGUUAAUAUACGAUAUUUAGCCAACAUCAUUUUUUGAGCUUAACUCCUUAUUACUGAUCAACCAUGAACUGAUGUGAAGAACUGGCUCUAUGGACGUGAGUUUGAGCGAGCUCCGGGAGAUGGUAAAGGACAGGGAAGCUUGGUGUGCUGUAGUCCAUGGGGUCGCAAAGAGUCAGACACAACUGAGUGACUGAACCAAACGGAACUGAUGAACUCCCAGAUUUAUCAGAAUUAUUCCACUGAGGUGGAGCCUGCCAUCAGCCACCUGGUUAGCAUGUCUGCCGGCCUCUUACACCUACCUCUCUCUGGGCUUCUAUUCCCACUGAGAUGAUGUGGCUCUGGAGGGCCUGGGCCACUUUUUUUUCACAAAUUGGCUGAGGAGAAGCGAGAGGGUGCCAAAGGUCUCUUGAAAAUGCAAAACCAGCGGGGUGGCAUCACGCCCUCCUCCAGGAUAUGCAGAAGCCAUCUCAAGAUGAGUGGUGUAAAACCUGGGACACCCUGGAAGCCACCCUUCUCAUACAGAAGAACCUAAACCUGGCCAUAUUGGAUCUGCAUGGCCUGGGUUCUGCCCGCGCAGACCCCCACCUCUGUAACUUCCUGGAGAGCCAGUUCCUAGGUGAGGAGGUGAAACUUGAAACUCUUCAGAAGAUGGGUGACCACCUGACCAACCUCCACAGGCUGGCUGGUCCCCAUGCUGGGCUGGGUGAAUAUAUCUUCCAAAGGCUCACCCUUAAGCACGGCUAGGAGCCUCAGGAGCCCAGCAGCCUUUGAGGAGCCCCUCUAAUAGGGCUUCUCUCUGAAGCCCCUCUCUGCAACCACUAGGCAGCUUUUAAACCACCCUGGAUCCCUCUCCCAACCCUUGGACUAAAUAGAAACAAUAAAGCUUUUUGCCACCAAGGGGAAAACAAAAAUCCUUGCUCAGCCACUCACUGGCUGUAUGAUCCUGGGCAAAUCAAUUCUCUGAGUGUCAGUGAGUGUUACCCACUCACAGACGUGUUGUGAGCAGUAGAUGGACUACUGUGUAUGAAAUAUCUAGCAGAACAUCCAGGAAAAUAAAGGAGCUCACUGCAUGCUUGUCCCCAGGGCUGUGACUUGCAGUCUCAUAUCAGACAGUAUGCAGCUGCCGUCUCUGUGUGGUGAUCAGCCAUCUGUCUCAACCCACUGGUUCUCUGGCUGCCUUCACUCUCCACUUGUACAUUGUCUAUGGGAAGGCAGAGCCCUUGUUUCCCACCAUAAUCGGUACAUGAUCAACAACAGCAGGGUUGACAGGUGUCCUGUGCCAGUGGUGGGGGAAGAAAGCAAGCUGUGUGGAAGCACCUCCACCCUUUCUCUGCACCUGAACCAACUCCACCAGCAAUGAUAUGUGUGUGUGUGUAGGUUUUAGUUUUCUUUUCUUUUUUAAAAAAUACAGUGCUCCCAAGCUGCCUUUUCCCUUCUACCACGUUUUCUCCCUUGGAGAUAUUUCAGUUGUUCAGCAUGUGUCCCUAGUAGCCAUCACUGUUGACUUUUUUGGAUUUAUUUGCUGUUGGUUUUGACAGAUCCUUCGGUGCACUUUGGUUGCACUUGGUCUUACAGAUACUUAUUACUGUCCAAUUGCACAUGAUUUUUGUUUUGUGGCUGCUGAAUAUUAUAAAUAUUAUAAAUCCAGGCAGCUGUGAAAUGCAUGAGCUGUUUUCCAUCUAUUCUGCCUGUCCUUUUGGAGGAAGGAAGACAGUGUGGAGAGAGCACAGGGAAGGGAGAAAGACCUUUCCAUCUCAGUGUGACGGGUUCAUGUGGCUGAGUGUCCAGGCUGCUCCUCAUCCACUGUGUGACCUUGCGUCAGAUGCUAAGCUCCUUGAGUCUCAGUGCUCAUUUGCAAAAUAGGAUUAUGUUAUCUGGAUUACCAUCUCAUAGGACUGUUGAGGUUCAAGUCCUAAUGCAUAAAGCUUUUAGGAUCUCCAGGAAGGAAUCUUAGGAAUCAUUGAGUUUAGCUCCCUCCUUUUACACUCGAAGAAAUUGAAGUCCAGAGAGCCUUUUGAGGGCAGGGACCGUGUCAUAUUCAUCUUGCUGGGGAUCCAGGCAGAGUCAGGCGCACAUGAGGUGUCUGAUAAAUACUUUGCAAAUGAGUUGAAUGAUCAGCUCGCAGCGACGUAUCUAUGAUUUAACCUCUUGGUGACUCAGGGUUAUCAACAUCAAUUACUGCAUGGUGUUGCUUUGCCCUGAUGCCUUCAGAACCAAUUAUGCUGUGUACAGUGCGGCUACGAUGCUUUUCUUCUUCAUGUUUCUCCUCUCUGCUCCUUCACUGUCACCUGUCAGUUCUCCCUGUAGCCUUUGGGGCCACUCUGAGAAGUCUCCAUCACUGUUUCUAAUUGGCUGUCCACUUAGGCUUGGACGGAACAAGAGUUAAAAGGCUCUGAAAGAUUUCAAGUUGGCAAUCAUGCCAGGUACUUGUAUUGGCGUCACAAGGAAUGUGGCAGAGUAUUCUACAGACCGGAAGCAUAACCUAUUUUAAUCUGGAAGAGGCUUAAUGUCAUCUGGUUUAGGACCCUCGAGUCACGCAAGUAUUUUCUAACUCACCAUGCCCUUCCAGUGCCUUCCAGCAUGAUGUGAUCAGUUUACUCAGUGAUUUGUGAAGCAGGUAUAUGGUUUAUGCUGGCAGUGACUGAGGAUUCAAUGUUCUACCCCUGAAAUAUCUGCCUGAUGACCUGGAUUCUUAAGCAUUUUUCCCUCCCAGCAAAGGGGGAAGUAAACGCACACAGCUGUGGAUUUCUCCUCUCAUUCCUGACUAUGACCUACAAAUUCCCUUCUCUUUCUCUCUCUGUCCUUUCCAACCCUCCCUAGUCCAGACUGAGGUGAAAUAUUUUUUACUGCUGUAUGUGGCUUAGAUAUCUAAGGGAAGGUUUAAUGAUGUAAGCUAGCAACAUUAGCUUAAUAAGUAGGUAAGGGAAAUGUUAGUCUUAUCAGUGGGUUUUUUGUUUGUUUUGGCCUUUGGCUGGCUGUCACUUGUGGCUUGCAGCCUUUGUUCCCCAGCCAGGGGUUGAACUUGGAUUCAACCAAGUUCAGAGAGAAGGCACAGAGUCCUAACCACUGGACGGCCAGGGAAGUCUUUAUCACUGGAUUUUAAAUUGAGGUAGAAGUAAUCUCAUUUAAACCGGGCUUUAGUAUUCAUUUGAAAGCCUGUAAAUUGCAGACAAAUUAUCAGCCACAAAUUGGGAUUUAUGAUCUGUGGGUUUUUAAUGAGGACAAGGGAGGCAGCUCAACACUCUUACGGAUUCAUGGUCUGGGAAAGAUGAGCAUGGCUUACCAUUUCCCCGAGGACGGGACAGUGGCAGAGCCCAGAGCAGACAUCUGAAAUUCAAGUUGUAGUUCAGCUCUAUUCUGCCUGCGUAAUCUCAGUUUCCUCACCUGUAAGGUAACAACAAUAUUCGUAUCUCCCUCACAGGGGCAGUGUGAUGACUAAAAUGAGAUAACACAUGUGAAAGUGUUUUGUAAAUCACAGAGCCACACACAGGCCUGCUGCUCAGAUCACUCCAUUAAGAUUUAUCGUAGAGUGUCUCGUGACUGUGCUAGGAAUGGGACAGGCCGAGGAACCUGUCUGGCAAGAAGGAUGAAGGGGAUGUUGUACAAAUAAAAAAAGACAUCAUUAGGAGAGUUGAUUAUUACAAACAAAAGGAACUUGUAAUAGGUAUCUCAGACUCUCAAAGGGGAUAUGAUUUCUAUGGAACUUGGACCCUGUUAUGAGAUUGAACCACUGUGAGCGAUCAUCAGAAGGCAGAAAACGCAGUCAUAGAUGGUGCCCAGGCUGCAAGUCAGAACACCAUGCAGUGUAGAGCGAAGCCCAAUGCCUAGUUAUAGCACGCGCAUGCUCAGUUGCAUCCAACUUUGGGACCCAUAGACUGUAGCCACACCUCUGUCCAUGGGAUUUCCCACACAAGAAUACUGGAGUGGGUUGCCAUUUUCUCCUCCAAGGGAUCUUCCCAACCCAGGGACAGAACCUACAUCUCCUGUGGCUUCCACAUUGGCGGGUGGAUUCUUUACUACUGAGCCACCUGGGAAGUCCGCCUAGUCAUAGAGCAGGAAGCAAAUCUGGAGGUGAGACACACAUCUGAGUUAGGGAAGGUCACUGAGAGAUGCUGAAGUCUGAAUGGGGCUUGUGUGAAAAGCAGCACCUGCGGGAACACUGCCAUGUCAAAGCCAGCUUGGACAGGCAAUUGAUUAAUGAAAAACGUAAUGGAUGUUGGUGAAGUAUAUACUACGUGCCUCCUCACAGUUGGACUUCCCUGGUGGCUCAGACGCUAAAGCAUCUGUCUACAAUGCGGGAGACCCGGGUUCGAGUCCUGGGUUGGGAAGAUCCCCUGGAGAAGGAAAUGGCAACCCACCCCAGUACUAUUGCCUGGAAAAUCCCAUGGACAGAGGAGCCUGGUAGGCUACAGUCUAUGGGGUCACAAAGAGUUGGACACGACUGAGCGACUUCACUUCCUCACAACAGUCAAUGUCCACAGACAUGGACAUGUCUUCACAGUUUGUGGACUUCUGGUUUAAAGACAUGAAUAAAUAGAAACCACAUUGCAGCGUGGUCAGACUUGUGCAGCAAGAGGACUUUGUUCAUGGUGCAGGGGGUGUGUCAACUUCUGGAGGGUCCUCAGCCUGACUGGAGGGAGGACCCCUCUGCACACCACUCUCGUCAUCACUCAGCUGGGCCACUGCAGGAG